ACCUGAUCACCUCCCAAAGCCCCACCUCCUAAUACCAUCACUUUCUGGGUGAGGAUUUCAACAGAUGAAUUAUUGUGGCACACAAACAUUCAGUCUACAGCAGAGAGGGCAAGUCAUGUAUGUGUGGACACGGAGCUGGGAAUGAUGACAUACAUUAGAGCCCAGGUUGGCCUGUAGCUCAUGCCCAUGUGACCCUCUGCAGAAUGCCUUGGCAUUUUUUCCAUGGUUCCCUCUGCCACAAAGUCCCUCCCUUCACCUGGAGCACCUGCUUCUCUUCCAGAGUCAGUUCCUGCCCCACUGUCCCUCAGAAGCGUUUUCUGAUGUGCUCUCCCUUGGGAAGAGCUGACCAGGGCAAGCCAAGACAGCAGUGCUAGUUGUGCCCUGGACCAAGAAAGGAGUGGGAUGGAAAUUCAGCUACUGUUCCUGGUAACUGAGCCUUGUACACUCAAUAUGCAAGAAGCACUAGAAGUGCCCACGGUGUGUUUCCAAGACCCUACACCAGCCUGGCUGAAACAGGACCAGAUCAUCUCUCAAAUCUCCAUCUUAAGUUCUUGUUGUCCACCUGCUUCCUGGAGCUAGGGCUACAGAGGCGGGAGUGAAGAAGGACUCGCCUGCCCAGACUGCAGAAACCACAGAAUCCAGGGAGCCAGCCUCAAGGUCUAGUCAAGCAGUGCUCAGACUCACUGCCAGGAUUUAGAAGAAAGCAGAAGGGGAUGAUGAGGAAUUGCAGAUUUGAAACUAAGCUGGAGAGUGUAGAGUCUCUUGUGUACCAUGAGUUCUGUGGAGGCUCUAAUUCUGUGGUGUUUUUCCAGAAUGCUACGUUCUUGGUCACUAAUUUGCCUUAUGUGACUUGACCAAUUAUCACCCUCAGGAUGGGAAAGGCCUUACACGAGCAGGAGGAAAUUUUAGGGGUCUGGAAAAAGGUGGGCUGAAACAAAGGGAAGGCUCUGAUAGGGGAGUGAAGACUGUCAACGUAACUUUGGCUCCCUUCUCCAUGUUGAUGCUGUCAGCAGAAAAACCAAACUCUGCAAAACAUUUCAAAGAGGUUUAUUCUGAGUGGACGUUAAUGCUCACCCCAGCUUCAGCACCUCUCCAGAGAGCUGACACUGCUUGGGAAGCUAAAUUGUUCUUUUUGAAGGGAGAAUUACAUAUGACAGACUGAAAAUCGAAACAAACUAAAAAAGAUGCAAGCUCACUAUGAAUUAGUUAAGCCUAUUGCAUGUUUUACAGCAAGUUUAUAACUUUCUCCCUGAAUUUUGGGUUCCCUUGGUUGGGGAAGGUAGAUGUGGAUGAGUUCCCUAGGGCUACCAUAACAAAGUACUACAAAGUUGAUGGCUGAAAUUAAGGCAACGGAAAUUCAUUCUCUCACAGUUCUGGAGGGCAGAAGUCAGAAAUCAGGAUGCCAGCAGGGUCAUGCUCCCUCUGAAGGCUCUAGGUGGAGUUUUUCGUUGCUUUACUAGUUCUAAUGGCUCCAGGUGUUCCUUGGCUUGUGGCUGCAUCAGUCUAAUCAUUACAUCUAAUACAUGGCUUUCUCCCCUGUGUGAGCUUGUUGACACUCCUUUGUCGUCUCUCUUACAAGGAUACACAUAACUGCGUUUUCGGCUCACCUGGAUAAUGAAAAAUAAACUCCUUGCCUCAAGAUCCUUAAUUAACCACCAUUUGUGCCACAUAAGAUCACAUUUACAGAAUCCAUGAUUUGAAUAUGGGCAUGUCUUUGGUGCCAAUGUUUAGCCCAAUGCAUUAGGUAAUUCUUUUCUCUGUUUGUCUUGUCACAGAACAGGCUCUCCUACACAUAAAGUUGGUUGCUUUCUAAAUUCCGUGAGUUUUCAGGUUUGUUUCUAUUCUUCCCCUUUCUUUCUUUCUUUUUUUUUUUUUUUUUGAGCUGGAGUUUCACUCUUGUUGCUCAGGCUAGAGUUUAAUGGUGCAAUCUCAGCUCGCCGCAACUUCCACCUCCCAGGUUCAAACGAUUCUCCUGCCUCAGCCUCCCAAGUAGCUGGGAUUACAGGCACUCACCACCACGCCCAGCUAAGUUUUGUAUUUUUAGUAGGGAUAGGGUUUCACCAUGUUGGCCAGGCUGGUCUUGAACUCCUGACCUUGUGAUCAGUCCACUUUGGCCUCCCAAAGUGCUGGGAUUACAGGCAUGAGCCUCUGUGCCCAGCCUGUUCUUCCACUUCCUUAAUGACCUAAAUAGAAACAUGAUUCACGUUGACUUCUUCCUUUGCAUUUAAUCUUGUGCUAUGAAAACAAACUACUGUCUCUGAUGCCUUAGCAACUUAAUAGUGCUUCUGAUCUUUUGAAAAUUACAGGUUUGUGUUUACAAGAACAUAUCCUCGAGCUUAUAUCUCUAAAAGUCUAACUAAAGGCCCUGUGGCUGGUACAUUACUAUAAUCAGCAAGAAACUGGUCCUGAUUCUCCAAACUCACUUUGUUCAACUGAGAACAAACUUGGAAGUCUCCUACAAAACUGGAGUUGAUUCUCAUCUCUUGAUUACUUCUGCAGGCCUUUGAAAGUUCCAGAGAAGUUCUCCGUGUGCUAUAUAUGUUAAACACGCUUCCAUGUUUUCCUUUAAAUCAUCAAGAGCAGCACAUAGGAUAAUGUGUUUAUUCCUUUCUCUGCUCCCUAGCAUUAUCUUCUUUUUAAAGUCAUUGACCCUUUCCCUAUCUACUCUAAAUGAAUGAUUUCAUGCUCCCUCCUGACAAAUCUGGUUAAAAUGACAUUGCAUCUCUUUAUAUCAUCUGUCCAAAUUGUACAAAGAAAGAGUGUCUAAUGGGCACUCUCCAACAAAGUUACUGCCUAUGGAGUGCUUAGAGAUCCCAGGCUGUCCUAAAAAUCAAAGAAAGUAUUGAAUAAGUUUCUCCUUUCUCUGAGGUCUACAGAUUCAGAAGCAGGGGGUAGGGAGAAAGCAUUUCCCUCAUUAUCUUUCCAAUACUCUUGAAACAUAUUCUGCUCCUUGAAAACCUGAUAUUCAAAAGUUAGCUCUGGGAAUGUAGGAUCGGUUUUUUCUUUUUUCACUGUUUAUUUAAUUUUAAUUUUUUUCUUUUUCUUUUUUUGAGACAGAGUCUCACUCUGUCGCCCAGGCUGGAGUGCAGUGGCAUGAUCUCAGUUCACUGCAACCUCCGCCUCCUGAGUUCAAGCAAUUCCCUGCCUCAGCCUCCCAAGUAGCUGGGAUUACAGGCACCUGCCACCACGUCUGGCUAAUUUUUGUAUUUUUAGUAGAGACGGGGUUUCACCAUCUUGGCCAGGCUGGUCUUGAACUCCUGACCUCGUGAUCCGCCUGCCUCAGCCCACCAAAGUGCUGGGAUUAGGUGUAAGCCACCACACCCAGCCUUGUUAUUUUUCUGAGGCAGUCUUGCUCUGUCACCCAGGCUGGAGUGCAGUGGUGUGAUCCGAGCUCACUGCAGCCACAACAUCCCCAGCUCAAGCAAUCCUUCCACUUCAGCUUCCUGA
rnacentral:lncRNA from 1 species